rnacentral:lncRNA from 1 species
AGAGGCAACACUAGGAGGCAAGGAAUCUGCAUUUCUUUCAGACCUUGGCAGAGAGCGCCCUGGGAAAUGCGGAUAUAGAAGGUCAGGAGAACAUCUCUCCUGGUUAUACAGCAUUCCAGGACUCCUCAUCUGUUUUUAAGAGGGAAAUCUGAGUUUUCAAGGAAAGCCGAAUACAGUUGCCAAGUUGCCAGUCAAAGAAACAAUGUCAACACCUGCUCAUAGAGAUGGAAUUCCUAACCCGGAAUAUUGCCCUUGAAUUACAACGAGAAAAAGCACCUCUUCAAGUGAGAUGGCAGACCACCUCAGGAUGGAAAUGUAUUUCUUCAUCCCCCUCUCUACUUCCCUGUGACCUCCUGCAAAUAAGGGAGAGACAAAGAGAAGAGCAGAAGAACAGAAGAAUGGAGUGGCAAAGAGAAGAGAAGGAGUGACUGAACAUUGACAAGACUUUGGUUGGGGAUGGUCAGAGAGGAGAUUAGCUGCUAGACGGCCACACUGCGGAGAAAGAUCAUUUUCCCACUCCAUCCCCCUUCCAGCUCCCCAUCCAUCUCACCAAGAGCCAGCUCCACCACUCAAUAAAACCUUACAUUCAUCUUUCAA